rnacentral:misc_RNA from 1 species
AUUUUAUCCACUGUUUCCGUAAUCCUGGUGGGGACUAUGAAUGGGCUGAUUGGGAUAAACCACCUCCUAGAUAUUGGGUGAAAAAGAUGGCUGCUUUAUUUGGUUACUCUGAUAAAUAAUCUGAAUACAGGUUGGACAAAGAAAAAUUUGAGCAUACAAGGACGUCUAGCAAGACAAUACCAGCGGACACAGACAGGCAUCGUGCAAGAUCUAGAUCCAGGGACAUAGAUCACUUGCGCC